rnacentral:piRNA from 1 species
UAAGUGGAUCUAUUAUCAAUU